GCCUGGCUCGCUCAGUUGGAAGAGUGUGUGGCUCUUGAUCUCGGGGUCGUGGGUUCGAACCCCACGCUGGGUA